GUGGUGGUAACCUUGGUGCUGCCUCAAGGCCACCAUCUUGUCCUCCUGCUCCUCCCCCUCCCCCUCAACCUCCUGCACCCCUUUCACGUACUAGCUUAGUCUCGUCACCUGCACCUCCACCCCCACCCCCAGCACCGAGGCCUCCAGCCCCUCCUCCAGUACCUGGCCGUGCUGGUCCACCCCCACUGCCUGGAACAAACCGUGCCAGUGUGCCACCGCCUCCACCUCCUGGCAUUGGUAGGGCCAGAACU
rnacentral:lncRNA from 1 species